rnacentral:tRNA from 1 species
GGGGAUGUAGCUCAGCCGGGAGAGCGCCUGCUUUGCAAGCAGGAGGUCAGGGGUUCGAGCCCCCUCAUCUCCACCC